UACGGAGGGGGCUAGCGUUGUUCGGAAUUACUGGGCGUAAAGGGUGCGUAGGCGGUUCGUUAAGUCUGUCGUGAAAUCCCCGGGCUCAACCUGGGAAUGGCGAUGGAUACUGGCGAGCUAGAGUGUGUCAGAGGAUGGUGGAAUUCCCGGUGUAGCGGGGAAAUGCGUAGAGAUCGGGAGGAACAUCAGUGGCGAAGGCGGCCAUCUGGGACAACACUGACGCUGAAGCACGAAAGCGUGGGGAGCAAACAGG
rnacentral:rRNA from 1 species